CCUGAUGCAGCCUCCGGGACAUCGUCUCCUGAUAGACCUGUAUCCGAACAUCGUAGGAGAAGGAUAUUGCCAACCCCACCUCUCCGUAGGUCACAAAGAGCGAGGAUACAACCAGGUUGGCAGACAAGUGGAGACUACAUUAUGGCAGUAUCUGCAGUUAACAAGGAAAAAUGGAUCUCCCGGGCGGAUUACCUUAGCUCUCUUAUUGCUAAGGGGAUAUUUUCCAACAAAGCUUCAGAUGCUCUAGUUGAUCUUGUGACUGGAAAGCUUUCAUGACGAGGACGUCAUUGGUUGGAGGGGGGAAGUGUGUAACAGGGAUGAAAUCAAACAUAUUUUAUAUUUGUUUACUUGUACCAAUCAGGUUUUAUCAUUGUAUAUAGUGUAUAGGAUUGUUCAACAGACUACCGCUUGUUUAUAAUAAGUAAUCUAAUUAGUUGCCUGUCUACCUUCAUCUCAGGUAUAAUACUCUAAUAGCUCAAUCAGGAUAUAGGGUCAGUUCAUUCUUGUUUUAAGGGUAGUCAGGUUAUUCCAUUUUCGUGUAUUUACUCUAUUGUCUUGAUCAAGGGACUGAAGCCUGAUUCUUUGUCUUGGUGAUUUUUGAAUAUCUAUGUCACCAGCCAUUUUAACACCUCUCAGCACCUGUCACAUUCACUGCACUGCAUCCACCGUACAGAUCAGUCCACAGGUUACACCUUCCGAGUACUGCUCAGUGUUCCGAGCAUUGGCGACCACUCAGGUCAGAGGCUACACUUUUGUGUCACCCACAGGAGUGUCACAUGCCACAGCGACACAACAAAUAAAUACAUCUCUCACGA